GAAGGAUGCGGCAGAUUACCCAAAAGUAAAAUGGUGGAAUCAGUUUCACCACUGUCCUACGUAACCGGAAAUAUGUAGGGAAGAAAAAAGCUUCUGAAAGUUGUGUGAUCCUUUGUAGCAGAAUCUGACUGUAUCACAGGCGAUGGAUAAAGAGAAGACCCAAGUGACUUUAUCUUACGCCAAAGAAAGCAUUAAUGUAUCUUACUAGCAGGAGAGAUCUGAUAUUGCUGGCGUGAACUAUAAAUUUGAGGGACAUUGUAUUAAAGAAAAAAAAAAGAGAGCAUGUUCUGAAGAUGUAAAAAAGAAAA